UUUUUUUUUUUUUUUUUAAGAAUUGUUAUUGAUCUCAUAAACUUGUCCAGACUUUGGCUGUGGAAAGCAGAGCCCACACCCAAUCUGUAGAUACACACACUCCUCGGAGCGUGCCUAGGUGAGCCAGGGUUGACUACCAGGAGAUUCCUCAAAGAUUUGGAGUAAUAAAGUUAGGAAUAGGAUACAAACAGGAAGAAUGAUUUCACCAGUAAGAAAUUACUUUUUAUAAUGUAAAAUAAAAUGCAAAAUUUAUAUUUUGGGUUACUUAAUGGACACUCAGUGUUUGCUGUGUGCCAGAUGUUGUCCUAAACAUAUCACAAGUACAAAGUUGUGUAAUCUUCACCAGCGCCUAUGGAGUGUAUUGUUAUCCUCAUUUCCCAGAUGAGGAAAUUGGAGGUACAGUUGUUAACUGAUUUCCCAGGAUUUCACCAUAUCGUGUGUUAGAGAGGCGCCAGCACUCGCCUAUCUUAUUCUGAUUCCUUGCUCUUAGCUGGGUUCUCUUGCCCUUGUGCAAUAUUGAAAUGAGACAUGGGGCUGCUAGCACAUUCUGCCUCUUAGAGAGCUCCUCCAGGCAGUUCCUCCCAGUCCUCAUGACAAUGUGUGAACUCUCCCCAAUCUCUUGGUCUAUUUUAGUGUUCAUGUUGGAGAAGCACUAACCCAGAGCAUUUCUCUUGGGUGUUUGGAAACAUCUGUCUUUCUUUAGAGUUCGUUAUGCCCUUUUCUCCUCCCCAGGAGGUGGUAUAAUCCCUAAGGACAAGAGCCUUAUCAUAAUCUUUGUUUCUCUGUGGAUCAGCUCACAGGAUGCCUGUGUGUCAUCAUGUACUUGUUCACCAUGGCCUGAAUGAAAUUGAGGUUGUCAACAGAUAAGGUAUCAUCUCACUUGCAGAUGCCUGUUGAUAUACUGGAUAGUUGUGAGACAUCUAGAUUCUGUGUUGAAGUAUCUAAUUAUUCCAGUUGAUAAUUGAUAUGGUUUUAAUGUGUCCCCCAAAAUCCACAUGUUGAAAACUUAAUUCCCAAAGCAACAGUUUUGGGAGGUGGUGUCUAAUGACAGGUGUUUGGGUUAUGAGAACUCCACUCUCAUGAAUGAAUUAAUGUUGCCUGUCUGAAUUUGUUUUCCGUUGCUUAUAACAGAAUACCUAAAACUGGGUUAUUUUUAAAGAAAAGGAACUUAUUUCUUCCAGUUUUGGAGAUGAUAAGUCCAAGGUCCAGGGACUGCAUCUUGUGAGGACCUUCUUGCUGGUGGGGACUCUGUAGAGUCCCAAGGUGACACAGGGCACCACAAGACAAGGGGGCUGAUUAUGCUAGCUCUGGUCUCUUUCCCUCUUCUUAUAAAGCCACCAGUUCCAUUCCCAUGACAACCAAUUAAUCCAUUAAUUCCUGAACCCAUUAAUCCAUGAAUGGAUUACUCUUUUCAUGAGGGCAGAUCCCUCAGGACCAAUCACCUCUUAAAGGCCCCACCUCUCAAUACUGCCACAUUGGGGAUUCAGUUUCUACAUGCAUUUUUGAGGAGAGAAAGAUUCAAACCAUAGCACUGCCAUAACAAGGGCUUUCAGGAGUAGGUUCUCUCUCUCUCCCUCUUCUACUAUGUGAAAAUACAACGAUCCUCCUCUCCAAAGGAGGCAGGGAUCAAGAUGCCACCUUGGAAGCAGAGAAACUGGGUCAUAAUCUGCAGUACCUUCAUAUUGAAAUUCCAGCCUCCAGAGCUGUGAAAGAAUAAUUUUAUAAUCUUUAUAAAUUACCCAGUUUUGUGUAUUCUGUUAUAGCAGCACAAAAUGGAUGAAGACAGUAGGUAUGAUGGUUAAUUUUAUGUCAACUUGACUGGGCUCCAGGUGCCCAGAUAUUUGGUCAAAUAUUAUUCUGUGUAUGUCUGUGAGUGUGUUUCUGGCUAAGAUAAGUAUUUGAAUCCAUAGAAUCAGUAAAGUACAUGAUCUCCCCUCACCAAUGUGAGUGGGCGUCAUCCAACUCAUUGAGGGUCCGAGUGGAACAAAAAGGCUGAGUAGGAGGGACAUCUCCUGCCUGAC
rnacentral:lncRNA from 1 species